GUUCAGAAAAAUGGCGUACCUCAGAAGACAGAGCAGUUGGGCAGAGAAUCUGGAAAUCUGGAAAGGGAGCCAUGAGAGAGAGAGUCAGGCCAAGCAGAGGCUGCCCCCUGCAAAUGUGUUUACAGAUUCCACCUUCCCUCAGGAGGAGGCUGACCUUUGACUGGGCUGAAUACGUCUUCCCCCAUCUUCAUGGCAAACACUGAAUCCAGCAUGACAUCUCCUGUGCUCCUGUGGAUUCCCAAGUUUU